GCCAACACUGUGUAAGUGGAGCUGCUGAAAGCAGCUCCUUACUCUGCAGCUAGAUGCAGGGUAUGCAUGGAUUGUGGACACUCCUGACAUUGCGGGAUUGAUUUGGUGCUGUCAGCUCUCAGCUCUGUCCUGGCUGCUCCUGAGGACUUUUGACAUGUCACAAUCUAUGUGCUGCAGAAAAAGGGAACUCUGGCAGUGCAAAGGUUAGGGAGUCUUCGUCCAAGCGGAGAGUCAGAAGACAUUCACGAAACCUUCACUGCCUGUGGGAAGUGCACAGCACAGGGGACAGAAUGGAGCCGCUUGUGUGAGGGGGUCUCCUUUGAGUCUGACAGCCUUCCCAAUGCGAGUCCUGGGAAACCACCCGAUCCUUCUCUUUUGAACGUUUUCCCCUCGGAAGCUGAAGGUCCAGACUCAGAUGCCUCCUCCGCUCAUGGUCCCCUUGCUAAAAACGAAGCAUCUCUGUUAAAUGAAGAGGAAAAAAAUGACUUUUUGUCUUACAAUAAAGGUUAGCAGUUGUUGUCUUGGUGCGUCUGGAAUCUUCACCAGAGUCUGGAGUUUGGUGACAGCACAGUCUCUUUCUUGGGAAGGCAACAUUUCUUGAGUGCUCAAAGCCACCCUGCAGUUUGCUACAUCAGCCGUGGAAAUGAUACGGUUUUCUUUCUAGUUACCUCUCUUGUGGGUGUGUGUGCACAGACAGGCGCGGGUGUGCGAAGGGCAGAUAAACCAUGUGGCUGAGGCAUAUGUACUCCAAGUCUUUUUAUUCCAUUUGUAUAAUUACAAACUAGGUAAAACUGAAUUUAGAUUGAUAAAUAAAUAAUUGAAAUUUGAGAUAAUUGAUAUUCUGUUUUGUUAUGCAGGUGUUAAACAGGAUGAAGUGUAGCUGAAUGCUCUACAAUCCACUAAGAGAACUGCAAAGUUAUUUUGUUAUUAAAGAUAAGCAUAUAUAUGAUACAUAAAAAUAAGCAUAUAAAAAAUGUGGUACAUAUACACAAUGG